CUUCAAUAAAAGCCAGUGCGCGAUGCGGCACACAGUCCAAGUGGAAAUUAGUAAAAGAUUCGUGGCCGGACCGUUUCCAACAAGUGCGCAAUCACAGGAAAGGAAAAUUUCACGCUUACGGAAAAUUAAACAUUUGCAUCGAUUUUGUGUGGGACGACAGUCCGUCGGCAAUUUGUAGAUUGCAUUGAAGGGUGAAUAAACGCGAGUGUGCUGAAUGUGAUAAUAAGUACAUACAUACAUAGUUAUAUUUUUUUGUGAUCCAAGAGCAUUCUUGAAAUCGGAGGCAAAUCUUCCACUUAACUUCGACAAAGUGCAACGCGUUAGCCAGAAGGCGAUAUCCAAACCAAAGAUAACUACAGCAAGACCAGCGAACAGCGUGCAAGGAGAGCUACAUUUGUACAUAGAAGAAGAAAAGUGAGAUUGAGAGCACAACGAAAGUCGAAGAAAGGAACCAAAACGUAAUUUUAGAAACGGAGUGCAAUAUUUGGCUGGUGGGCUGGAUGACAUCCCAAAAACAUAAAUAACAAAAACUGACUUAUUAGCAGCGCUAGUGGUCGCUUUUGGUGUCCCAAUAAUAGUCUCCAUUCCAACUGCAUACAUG